rnacentral:rRNA from 1 species
UAUCUGUUCCCGGACCACUCCUGGCUGAAGGUCGUGUCUAUUUUAAAGACUGCUCGG